AUGGGCGCCGGGAAUGGCCUGAGCAAGGCGGCGCCCGACGGGACCACGGUGUUCAGGGCCACGGCCUACUCGCCGCUGCGCACCACGCUGGCGCUGGCGCUCUGGCUGGGGGCCAUCCACUUCAACGUCCUCCUCCUCAUCGCCUCCCUCUUCCUCCUCCCCCGCCGCGUCGCCGCCAUGGUGCUCGGCACGCAGCUCUUCUUCAUGCUCCUGCCCCUCAAUGACAAGAGCAGGCUGGGGCGCAAGAUCGCCAGAUUCAUAAGCAAGUACGUCGUCGGGUACUUCCCCGUCACUCUACAUGUGGAGGACUACAAGGCUUUCGACCCCAAAAGAGCUUACGUGUUCGGUUAUGAACCGCAUUCUGUUCUGCCCAUCGGCCUUGGGGCCCUCCUGGACCUUGUUGGAUUCAUGCCAUUACCGAAGACCAAGGUUCUUGCAAGCACCGCGGUGUUCUACACUCCGUUCUUGAGGCAGAUAUGGACGUGGUUGGGAUUGGUUCCAGCUUCUAGAAAGAAUUUCUACUCCUACCUUCGAGCCGGUUAUACCUGCAUCGUAGUGCCCGGAGGUGUACAGGAGAUGCUUCACAUGGAUCAUGAUUCGGAGGUUGCCUUUCUGAAAUCAAGGAAAGGUUUUGUUAAGAUCGCUAUGGAGACUGGUUCUCCUUUAGUCCCGGUUUUCUGCUUCGGACAGAGCCUUGUGUACAAGUGGUGGAGGCCAGGUGGCAAGUUGAUUGUGAAGAUUGCUAGAGCAAUUAAAUUUACUCCAAUUAUUUUCUUUGGGAAAUACGGGACUCCCAUCCCUUUCGCGACACCACUUCAUCUGGUUGUUGGAAGACCAAUCGAGGUUCAGAAAAAUCCUCAGCCUACAUAUGAUGAGAUAAACGAGGUACAUGAACAAUUUGUGGUUGCGAUGCAAGAACUAUUCGAAAAGUACAAGACAAAAGCUGGAUAUGACAAACUCGAAUUGAGAGUUCUAUGA
rnacentral:rRNA from 1 species